UACGAAGGGUGCAAGCGUUACUCGGAAUUACUGGGCGUAAAGCGUGCGUAGGUGGUUCGUUAAGUCUGAUGUGAAAGCCCUGGGCUCAACCUGGGAACUGCAUUGGAUACUGGCGAUCUGGAGUGCGGUAGAGGGUAGCGGAAUUCCCGGUGUAGCAGUGAAAUGCGUAGAUAUCGGGAAGGAACAUCCGUGGCGAAGGCGGCUACCUGGACCAGCACUGACACUGAGGCACGAAAGCGUGGGGAGCUCAACAGGAUUAGAUAC
rnacentral:rRNA from 1 species